rnacentral:rRNA from 1 species
UACGAAGGGUGCUAGCGUUGUUCGGCCUUACUGGGCGUAAAGCGCGCGCAGGCGGCCAUCCAAGUCAGUGGUGAAAGCCCGGAGCUCAACUCCUGAACUGCCAUUGAAACUGGUUGGCUAGAGUACGAGAGAGGUGAGUGGAAUUCCCAGUGUAGAGGUGAAAUGCGUAGAUAUGGGGAAGAACACCGGUGGCGAAGGCGGCUCACUGGCUCGUUACUGACGCUCAGGCGCGACAGCGUGGGGAGCAAACAGG